CGGAGUUUAAAGUCUGCAGUUGGCUCCUGCUAAUGUGAUGCAUGGUUUCCUGACUUCAGCUGCCGCGUCCGCUUCGGGAUGAAAUGACCAGUGCUUUGGUUAAGAAUGCACAUUAUACUGCAGUUCUUUGGGGAAUGAAGCCACCCUUGACUGAGGAGACACGGCACAGAAGACAGAGGCAGAAGCAGCUUUAUUGAAAAACAGAGCAUGAGUAGAACGACUUCAAAUCCCAUAUGGCACCACAGUGAGAAGUAACUUCCUCUGAGCUUCUUAGAGAAUCCAACAAUGUCCUGCUUCCUUGGGGAGCUGCAGCCAUGGGCACAUGGGAAUAGGGCUUCCACCAAGAGUCCCGUCAGUCACAGCAACAGGAGGUCUUCCUCAGACAACUUUGAUGAUAGUGGUUGUUAGCCAGAGCAAGCUAGAACCAGAAAGAAAAACUAUGAAGAUGCCACAGUGGGAGUCUGAGCACCUUGAGGCCUCCUGUUGGAAACUGGCAAACCUAACUGUGGGACACUUGGAUGCUGAGUUCUGGUAAACAUGCUGUCGGAGGCACGCCUCUAGGAUGGACCCCCAUGAUCCCCACCUCCUGGUAUCCGCGCCAUGAUGCAAUCUGCUUACAGCCUAAAUCAGGAUGAACCAUAUGACUCAUAGAACACUGCAGAAGGCAUGAUGUGUGACUUCAGAUGUGAAGUCAUAGAGGACAAGGACACAGCCACCUUCUUGGAUUUCUCACUCUGUGGAAGGGCAGUGACAUUCCAUGAGACAAGCAGUCCUGUGGUGAGGCCCAUGUCAAGAAGGCCUGAGAUCUCCCACCAUCAGCUACAGCCAAUUUGUCAGUCACGUGAGUAAACCACCUGGGACGUGAAUCCUCUCGACUUAACCACCUCUUCAGGUGGCCAGAGCCCUAGCCCAGGUCUGACUGCAACCUGAUGAGAAACCCUGAGUAGGAAGACCUGCUUGAGCUGCUCCCAAAUUAUUGAUCCACAGACACUAUGAGAGAUAAUACGUACUUAGUGUUCUUUUAACCCACUACAUUUUGGUUGGCUGUAUUUAUUACCCUGUAACAGAUGACUAAUACAUCUCCUGUGAUCAAAACACUUCAGAGGUUCCCCAUUUCUCUCAGAGAAAUAUCCAAAGUCCAUAAGGCCUGUGAGGCCCCUCACAUUCUUCCCACCCCCAUUACCUCUCUAACUCCAUUUUCUACCACUCUCCUUCUUUCCACCUCAACCACAGCUACAGUGACUUCUUUGCCCUUUCUCAAAUCUGCCUCAGGGCCUCUGUACUGGACACUCUCUCCCCACUCCCACUCCCUCCUCCAGGCCUUCACUGAAAUGUCUCCCUCUCAGUGAGGACUUCCUUUCCUAAACUGCAGUACCCCCAACCUACACACACACACACACACACACACACACACACACACAGAGUCUCUAGUCUUCCUAGCUCCUUAAUUUUUUUUUCCUUAGCACAUAUCACUAUUUCAUAUACCAUAUUUGUCAUCUAUUUUCUGGUUUCCCUUUCUCAGAUGUAAGCUAAGUUGGUGCAGGGGUUUUUGUCUGUUCCCAAUGUCUAGAAGAGUGUCUGAUUUACAGUAGACACUCCAUGAAAUUUGUCAAAUGAAU
rnacentral:lncRNA from 1 species